rnacentral:rRNA from 1 species
GUUAAAAAGCUCGUAGUUGGAUUUCUGCGGGGGCGGGGCGGCCGGUUGCUUAUAGCAACUCGAGCUAGCACUUCCCCCGCAUCCUGCCGCGAACCGUGCUACCAUUAGUUUGGUGGCGCUGGGGAUCGGCUCGUUUACUUUGAGUAAAAUAGAGUGUUCAAAGCAGGCCACACGCCUUGAAUAAGUUAGCAUGGAAUAAUGAUAAAGGACUUCGGUUCUAUUUUGUUGGUGUUCGGGACUGAAGUAAUGAUUGAUAGGGACAGUUGGGGCGGUCCGUAUUCCAAAG